GCCCGGAUACUGUGUGUGUUGCG
rnacentral:miRNA from 1 species